rnacentral:rRNA from 1 species
UACGGGAGGCAGCAGUGGGGAAUAUUGCACAAUGGGCGCAAGCCUGAUGCAGCCAUGCCGCGUGUAUGAAGAAGGCCUUCGGGUUGUAAAGUACUUUCAGUCGUGAGGAAGGUGUUAAGGUUAAUAACCUUAGCAAUUGACGUUAGCGACAGAAGAAGCACCGGCUAACUCCGUGCCAGCAGCCGCGGUAAUACGGAGGGUGCGAGCGUUAAUCGGAAUUACUGGGCGUAAAGGGCACGCAGGCGGUUAAUUAAGUUGGAUGUGAAAUCCCCGGGCUUAACCUGGGAAUGGCAUUCAAGACUGGUUAGCUAGAGUCUUGUAGAGGGGGUAGAAUUCCGAUGUGUAGCGGUGAAAUGCGUAGAGAUGUGGAGGAAUACCGGUGGCGAAGGCGGCCCCUGGACAAAGGCUGACGCUCAUGUGCGAAAGCGUGGGGAGCGAAACAGGAUUAGAUACC